rnacentral:rRNA from 1 species
GACGAACGCUGGCGGCGUGCCUAAUACAUGCAAGUUGAGCGAUGAAGAUUGGUGCUUGCACCAAUUUGAAGAGCAGCGAACGGGUGAGUAACGCGUGGGGAAUCUGCCUUUGAGCGGGGGACAACAUUUGGAAACGAAUGCUAAUACCGCAUAACAACUUUAAACAUAAGUUUUAAGUUUGAAAGAUGCAAUUGCAUCACUCAAAGAUGAUCCCGCGUUGUAUUAGCUAGUUGGUGAGGUAAAGGCUCACCAAGGCGAUGAUACAUAGCCGACCUGAGGGGGUGAUCGGCCACAUUGGGACUGAGACACGGCCCAAACUCCUACGGGAGGCAGCAGUAGGGAAUCUUCGGCAAUGGACGAAAGUCUGGCCGAGCAACGCCGCGUGAGUGAAGAAGGUUUUCGGAUCGUAAAACUCUGUUGGUAGAGAAGAACGUUGGUGAGAGUGGAAAGCUCAUCAAGUGACGGUAACUACCCAGAAAGGGACGGCGAACUACGU